rnacentral:lncRNA from 1 species
GUUUAGACACACCUACUCAUUCAAAGGUUUUUCUUUAUUUUUACUAUUUUCUACAUUUUAGAAUAAUAGUGAAGACAUCGAAACUAUGAAAACAACACAUAUGGAAUUAUGUAGUAACUAAAAAAGUGCUAAACAAAUCAAAAUAUAUUUUAUGUUUGAGAUUCUUCAAAGUUGCCACCCUUUGCCUUGAUGACAGCUUGGACCACGCUUGGCAUUCUCUCAACUAGCUUCACCUGGAAAUCUUUUCCAACAUUCUUGAAUGAGUUCCCACAUAUGCUGAGCACUUGUUGGCUGCUUUUCCUUCACUCUGCGGUCCAACUCAUCCCAAACCAUCUCAAUUGGGUUGAGGUCGGGUGAUUGUGGAGGCCAGGUCAUCUGAUGCAGCACUCCAUCACUCUCCUUCUUGGUCAAAUAGCCCUUACACAGCCUGGAGGUGUGUUGGGUCAUUGUCCUGUUGAAAAAAAAUAUAUAGUCCCACUAAACGCAACCAGAUGGGAUGGUGUAUCGCUGCAGAAUGCUGUGGUAGCCAUGCUGGUUAAGUGUGCCUUGAAUUCUAAAUAAAUCACUGACAGUGUCACCAGCAAAGCACCCCCACACCAUAACACCUCCUCCAUGCUUCACGGUGGGAACCACACAUGCAGAAAUCAUCUGUUCACCUAUUCUGCGUCUCACAAAGACACGGCGGUUGGAACCAAAAAUCUCACAUUUGGACUCAUCAGACCAAAGGACAGAUUUCCACAGGUCUAAUGUCCAUUGCUCGUGUUUCUUGGCCCAAGCAAGUCUCUUCUUAUUAUUGGUGUCCUUUAGUAGUGGUUUCUUUGCAGCAAUUUGACCAUGAAGGCCUAAUUCACACAGUCUCCUCUGGUCAGUUGAUGUUGAGAUGUGUCUGUUACUUGAACUCUGUGAAGCAUUAAUUUGGGCUGCAAUUUCUGAGGCUGGUAACUCUAAUGAACUUACCCUCUGUAGCAGAGGUAACUCUGGGUCUUCCUUUCCUGUGGUUGUCCUCAUGAGAGCCAGUUUCAUCAUAGGGUUUGAUGGUUUUUGCAACUGCACUUGAAGAAACUUUCAAAGUUCUUCAAAUUCUCCGCAUUGACUGACCUUCAUGUCUUAAAGUAAUGAUGGACUGUCGUUUCUCUUUGCUUAUUUGAGCUGUUCUUGCCGUAAUAUGGACCUGGUCUUUUACCAAAUACGGCUAUCUUCUGUAUACCAACCCUACCUUGUCACAACACAACUGAUUGUCUCAAAGCCGUUAAGAAGGAAAGAAAUUACACAAAUUUACUUUUAACAAGGCACACCUGUUAAUUGAAAUGCAUUCCAUGAAGCAUUCCAUUCUCAUGAAGCUAGUUGAGAGAAUGCCAACAGUGUGCAAAGCUGUCAUCAAGGCAAAGGGUGGCUACUUUGAAGAAUCUCAAAUAUAUAAUAUUUUUUUAUUUGUUUAGCAGUUUUUUGGUUUCUACGUGAAUCCAUAAGUGUUAUUUCAUAGUUUUGAUAUCUUCACUAUUAUUCUACAAUGUAGAAAGUUGUAAAAAUAUAGAAAAACCCUUGAAUGAGUAGGUGUGUCCAACAUUUUGACUGAUACUGUGCACAAAAUAUAAACACAACAUGUAAAGUGUUGGUCCCAUGUUUCUUGAGCUAAAUUUUUCAAAGAAAUGUUCCAUACGCACAAAAAACUUUUUUUCUCUAAAAUGUUGUGCACACAUUUUUUUACAUCCCUGUUAGUGAGCAUUUCUCCUUUGUCAAAAUUAUCCAUCCACCUGACAGGUGUGGCAUAUCAAGAAGCUGAUUAAACAGCAUGAUCGUUACACAGGUGCACCUUGUGCUGGGGACAAUAAAAUGCCACUCUAAAAUGUGUAGUUUUGUCACACAACACAAUACCACAGAUGUCUCAAGUUUUGAGAGAGCGUGCAUAUUGGCAUGCUGACUGCAGGAAUGUCCACCAGAGCUGUUGCCAGAGAAUUGAACAUUCAUUUCUCAACCAUAAGCCGCCUCCAACAUCAUUUGAGAGAACCGCAGACAACCGUUGACCACGUGUAUUGCGUCAUGUGGGGGAGCGGUUUGCUGAUGUCAACGUUGUGAACAGAAUGUGCCCCAUGGUGGAGGUGGGGUUAUGGUAUGGGCCCCAUUGUGGAGGUGGGGUUAUGGUAUGGGCCCCAUGGUGGAGGUGGGGUUAUGGUAUGGGCCCCAUGGUGGAGGUGGUGUUAUGGUAUGGGCCCCAUGGUGGAGGUGGGGUUAUGGUAUGGGCC